rnacentral:lncRNA from 1 species
UAGAUUUGCAUGAAAAAAAGAUUAGUUACAAUUUAGAUAGUUAUAAAAUUCAUAAAUGUUAUAGUAAUAAAAUGACAGUUCUUUUGAAUAAUCUAGGUAAAGAGUGUUUAAAUCUUAAAGAAUGUAUUUUAUAUUUAUAUAAUUCAAUUAAUGAUUGUAAUUUAAUGAAAUGUGCUUGUUGGGUUGACGGUGAACAUGAAGAUGAGCAUAAUAAAAAAGAGCAAAAAAAUUAUUUUGAAAAAAAAAAUAUAUCUCUUAUUUUGGAAACUGAAAAAUGUAAAAAAACGAAUGAUAAUAAUUUUGCUUUUACAAAAAAUGAUCAAUUAAACAACCAUAUGAAUUUGUAUAAAGAAAACAACUUUUUAGUACCAAAUGGUAAUGUUAAUUUAGAUGAAUUAAAAAAAGGAACAAGUGAAUCAUGUCCAAAUGAAAAUAUUGUUUUUUCGAACGACGCCGUGAGCUGUGAGUUAGGCAACAUUGCUGUUAGUCAGGGUGAUAAACACCAGAAUAAUAAGUACCUAACGGAUGCGAAAAAACACAAUGACAUAUGUAUUGGACAAAACGAAAUGAUAAAAAAAGAGGAUAACUAUUUUGAUAAAGGUGAACAAGCAGGAGUAGAAGUCGAAACCGAAACGGAAGAUACAACAUUAUUAUAUAACGAUUUUUUAAAAAAGAACGAAGUGAAUAACGAAAGAGAUUUGGUUAGCAUUGAAAAUAAAAAUGAAAGUUUGUUAAAUAAUUUGAACGAAACUAGUAAUGAUAAAAAAAAUAAAACAACAUUUUCGUUAAAAGAUGCAGAGCAAAUCAGUUCUUUUCUUAAAAAUGAUUUUUUAAUAAAAAAAUAUGAGCUUAAGAAUUUAUCUUUGUGUGAAAAAAUUGGUGGAUAUGAAAAAGAUGAGGAAAAAAACAAAAAAAUAAAAUUUAUGAAGGUUAUGAUAGAAAAUACGCCUUUAACAGUAAUUUUAUGUAAUAAAGGUAAUGAAAUAUGUAAAGAAAUAGUUAACAAAUAUUCGAGGUAUUAUCGAGAUUUUUAUGAAGAAAGGAUA